rnacentral:rRNA from 1 species
CUUGGUCAUUUAGAGGAAGUAAAAGUCGUAUCAAGGUCUCCGUUGGUGAACCAGCGGAGGGAUCAUUACCGAGUUUACAACUCCCAAACCCCUGUGAACAUACCAAUUGUUGCCUCGGCGGAUCAGCCCGCUCCCGGUAAAACGGAACGGCCCGCCAGAGGACCCCUAAACUCUGUUUCUAUAUGUAACUUCUGAGUAAAACCAUAAAUAAAUCAAAACUUUCAACAACGGAUCUCUUGGUUCUGGCAUCGAUGAAGAACGCAGCAAAAUGCGAUAAGUAAUGUGAAUUGCAGAAUUCAGUGAAUCAUCGAAUCUUUGAACGCACAUUGCGCCCGCCAGUAUUCUGGCGGGCAUGCCUGUUCGAGCGUCAUUUCAACCCUCAAGCCCCCGGGUUUGGUGCUGGGGAUCGGCGAGCCUCACGGCAAGCCGGCCCCGAAAUACAGUGGCGGUCUCGCUGCAGCUUCCAUUGCGUAGUAGUAAAACCCUCGCAACUGGUACGCGGCGCGGCCAAGCCGUUAAACCCCCAACUUCUGAAUGUUGACCUCGGAUCAGGUAGGAAUACCCGCUGAACUUAAGCAUAUCAAUAAGCGGAGGA